rnacentral:rRNA from 1 species
GACGAACGCUGGCGGCGUACUUAACACAUGCAAGUCGAGCGGUAAGGCCCUUUCGGGGGUACGACGAGCGGCGAACGGGUGGAGUAACACGUGGGUGACCUGCCCUCCAGCUCUGGGAGUAAGCCUGGGAAACCGGGUCUAAUACUGGAUAUGACUCCAUGACGCAUGUUGUGGGGUGGAAAGCCUUGUGCGGCUGAGGAUGGGCCCGCGGCCUAUCAGCUUGUUGGUGGGGUGAUGGCCUACCAAGGCGACGACGGGUAGCCGGCCUGAGAGGGCGACCGGCCACACUGGGACUGAGACACGGCCCAGACUCCUACGGGAGGCAGCAGUGGGGAAUCUUGCGCAAUGGGCGAAAGCCUGACGCAGCGACGCCGCGUGAGGGAUGACGGCCUCGG